CUGGUUGAUCCUGCCAGUUACAUAUGCUUGUCUUAAAUAUUAACCCAUGCAUGUGCCAGUUCAGUAUUGAACAGCGAAACUGCGAAUGGCUCAUUAAAACAGUUAUAGUUUAUUUGAUAAUUAAAAGAUUACAUGGAUAACCGAGCUAAUUGUUGGGCUAAUACAUGCUUAAAUUCCGCGUCCUGCGACCGGAACGUAUUAUUAGAUAUUAGACCAAUCGCAGCAAUGUGAUUGAGAUGAUUCAAAGUAACUGAUCGAAUCGUAGCUUGCUACGAUAAAUCAUCUAAGUUUCUGCCCUAUCAGCUCUCGAUGGUACUGUAUUUGGACUACCAUGGCAGUCACGGGUAACGGAGAAUUAGGGUUCGAUUCCGGAGAAGGAGCCUGAGAAACGGCUACUACAACUACGGUUUGGCA
rnacentral:rRNA from 1 species